UACGAGUGCCCCGAGCGUUAUCCGGAAUCAUUGGGCGUAAAGGGUGUGUAGGCGGUCAUGUUAGUCUUGUGUUAAAGAUCCCGGCUUAACCGGGAAAAUGCAUAGGAAACGGCAUGACUAGAGGGUGCGAGAGGUGAAUGGAACUCAUAGUGUAGGGGUGAAAUCCGUUGAUAUUAUGGGGAACACCAAAUGCGAAGGCAAUUCACUGGCGCAUUCCUGACGCUGAAACACGAAAGCGUGGGUAGCGAAUGGG
rnacentral:rRNA from 1 species